AGCUCCAAUAGCGUAUAUUAAAGUUGUUGCAGUUAAAAAGCUCGUAGUUGGAUUUCUGCUGAAGGCACGUUGGUCUGCUCAUAUCGAGUACGUACCUAGAUUUGGUUUCAGCAUCCUUCUGGAAACUGUGGUGUUACUUCAUUGGAACGCCAUAAGUCCAGAACUUUUACUUUGAGAAAAUUAGAGUGUUUCAAGCAGGCAUAUCGCCUUGAAUACUGCAGCAUGGAAUAAUAAUAUAGGAUUUCGGUUCUAUUUUGUUGGUUUCUAGGACUGAAGUAAUGAUUAAUAGGGACAGUUGGGGGCAUUCAAAUUUGACUGUCAGAGGUGAAAUUCUUAGAUUUGUCAAAGAUGAACUACUGCGAAAGCAUUUGCCAAGGAUGUUUUCAUUAAUCAAGAACGA
rnacentral:rRNA from 1 species